AUGGGUCGUAACAAAAAAUCAACAUUGACCCAAGGUUCUACAGCAGCAGAACUUAUUCGGUGAUCUUUUGGCCCAUCUUUGCUAAUACCGACAAAGUACGCAUGCUGCUGUUGUCAAGGGGAGGUGCUGGAAGCAAGAAUCAGGAGUGCUUGAAGUGUGUGAAAAAAUGAUUACUCGCAUGCAUGCUAGCCGUUGGCGUAACAUCACCCAGCUGAUGGAGAGAUUUUAGUUUGCUAGCUAGAUGAAUCUUUAGACUUUGCAUGUAAUUGAACUAAAAGUUCACUUCAGAAUUUAGAAAACAUGUAUGCUAUUAUUUUUUUAUAUGUUCAUCACACAAAUUGUGUUCCAAAACAAUAUACGUUGGAAUUCAAAGUCAAAGAUUGAUCUCUUUCUUUUAGUAAUCAAA